rnacentral:rRNA from 1 species
UGAGGAAUAUUGCGCAAUGGGGGAAACCCUGACGCAGCAACGCCGCGUGGAGGAUGAAGGCUUCGGUUGUAAACUCCUUUUCUGAGGGAAGAGACAAGGACGGUACCUCAGGAAUAAGUCACGGCUAACUACGUGCCAGCAGCCGCGGUAACACGUAGGUGGCGAGCGUUAUCCGGAUUUAUUGGGCGUAAAGCGCACGCAGGCGGUUAGUUAAGUUUGGCGUGAAAUCUCUUGGCUUAACUGGGAGAGGUCGUCGAAAACUGGCUAACUUGAGGCAAUGAGAGGGGUACAGAAUUCCUGGUGUAGUGGUGGAAUGCGUAGAUAUCAGGAGGAAUACCAGUGGCGAAAGCGGUACCCUGGCAUUGGCCUGACGCUCAGGUGCGAAAGCGUGGGGAGCGAACGGGAUUAGAUACCCCCGUAGUCC